rnacentral:rRNA from 1 species
GACAGAGGGUGCAAACGUUGUUCGGAAUUACUGGGCGUAAAGCGCACGUAGGCGGCCUCAUAAGUCGGAUGUGAAAUCCCUCGGCUCAACCGAGGAACUGCAUCCGAUACUGGCGGGCUUGAAUCCGGGAGAGGGAUGUGGAAUUCCAGGUGUAGCGGUGAAAUGCGUAGAUAUCUGGAGGAACACCGGUGGCGAAGGCGGCAUCCUGGACCGGUAUUGACGCUGAGGCGCGAAAGCUAGGGGAGCAAACGGGG